CCACACUUCAUUAGAAUCCUUACUUUUAGUUCUUUGCAGGUUUUUCUUUAUGACACAGGAAACCAAAUAUGUAGCAGAGUCAUAGACACUGAUAAAAGGGCUUCUAAAAUGUUCUCAGUGGACGACAAAAUAUUUUAUAUCCCCAGUGUUUUAUAUCCCUGAAGGGGUGAUAAUAUCUGACCCUUCAUACCUUGUAGAGGAAAGAACAAUUCCAGACCUUCUUUUGUCAGGUAUCAAAAUUUACUCAGAACAACUGACUCUGUCAAAUGUAUCUUUGAAAGGACACAAAAAGUUUUUCUCAGGGAGGCACCGAGAUGGCAGAGUGGUGAGCAGCAGACAAAAAGCCUCUCUGACAGUUGCUGGGAUACAGCAACACGAAGAAGACAAGAGGGAGGGAGGAGGGUCCCCUAGACCCAGGAAGGAUCUGAAGCAUGAACUGAAGUGCACAGACAGAGGGAAGAGAAAAACUUCAGAAGAAGGAGGUAGCUGGUGGCACCUUCUCCCUGAGACAGGAAUCACUGUGCAAGAGGAGCUGUUCAAACCCAAGGACACAUGGUGACUGCUGGAGAUCCCAGAGGCCUCAAAGAGAGACACAGUGGUGGAGGAGAGCAUGAUACAUAAAGGACUGCACUAGCUGGAGGUCAUAUGAUAAUCAAGAGACAAAAAUGACAGAACUGACAGUGGACCAUGGGUAUACCUUAUAUGAAGUAUUGGAGCCUGCUGCUCCAGGCUCCGUCCAUCAGGGUGAGCUGAAUAAGCCAUGGAACCUCCUCCAUUAACUGGGCGGCACGGGUCACAAGAGCCUGUACACUCUGAGAAUUCCCAUUCCUUUGGAACACUUGGAGAGAGGACUGUGGCAUUCUAUGGAAGAAAAUGGUAGAAGGUAACUCCUAAAGAGUCUCCUGGCUUAAGGAUUUUGAUUCAAGAUGAGACACAUGCCAACCACCAGUUAGUUCUUAUCCUUCUCUCUCACACAUGUUCCAUCUGAGGUAGUUUACUAAAUAAACUCUGUUUAUGCUUUCUGGCA